rnacentral:rRNA from 1 species
UACGUAGGGGGCUAGCGUUGUCCGGAAUCAUUGGGCGUAAAGCGCGUGUAGGCGGUUCGGUAAGUCCGCUGUGAAAGUCGGGGGCUCAACCCUCGAAUGCCGGUGGAUACUGUCGGGCUAGAGUGCGGAAGAGGCGAGUGGAAUUCCUGGUGUAGCGGUGAAAUGCGCAGAUAUCAGGAGGAACACCGAUGGCGAAGGCAGCUCGCUGGGACGGUACUGACGCUGAGGCGACGAAAGCUAGGGGAGCAAACGGG